AGUGAACGCUGGCGGUAGGCCUAACACAUGCGAGUCGAACGGCAGCACAGUAAGAGCUUGCUCUUACGGGUGGUGAGUGGCGGACGGGUGAGGAAUACAUCGGAAUCUACUUUUUCGUGGGGGAUAACGUAGGGAAACUUACGCUAAUACCGCAUACGACCUACGGGUGAAAGCAGGGGAUCUUCGGACCUUGCGCGAUUGAAUGAGCCGAUGUCGGAUUAGCUAGUUGGCGGGGUAAAGGCCCACCAAGGCGACGAUCCGUAGCUGGUCUGAGAGGAUGAUCAGCCACACUGGAACUGAGACACGGUCCAGACUCCUACGGGAGGCAGCAGUGGGGAAUAUUGGACAAUGGGCGCAAGCCUGAUCCAGCCAUACCGCGUGGGUGAAGAAGGCCUUCGGGUUGUAAAGCCCUUUUGUUGGGAAAGAAAAGCAGCAGGUUAAUACCCCGCUGUUCUGACGGUACCCAAAGAAUAAGCACCGGCUAACUUCGUG
rnacentral:rRNA from 1 species